rnacentral:tRNA from 1 species
GGCCUCGUAGCUCAGCUGGCAGAGCGUGCGUUGUUCAAAAGCGUAGGUGGUGUUCAUGCGUGGGUUCGAAUCCCACCGAGGCUA